GUGCCAGCAGCCGCGGUAAUACGGAGGGUGCAAGCGUUAAUCGGAAUUACUGGGCGUAAAGCGCACGCAGGCGGUUUGUUAAGCUAGAUGUGAAAGCCCCGGGCUCAACCUGGGAUGGUCAUUUAGAACUGGCAGACUAGAGUCUUGGAGAGGGGAGUGGAAUUCCAGGUGUAGCGGUGAAAUGCGUAGAUAUCUGGAGGAACAUCAGUGGCGAAGGCGGCUCCCUGGCCAAAGACUGACGCUCAUGUGCGAAAGUGUGGGUAGCGAACAGGAUUAGAUACCCUGGUAGUCCACACCGUAAACGCUGUCUACUAGCUGUUUGCGACUUUAAGUUGUGAGUAGCGAAGCUAACGCGCUAAGUAGACCGCCUGGGGAGUACGGCCGCAAGGUUAAAACUCAAAUGAAUUGACGGGGGCCCGCACAAGCGGUGGAGCAUGUG
rnacentral:rRNA from 1 species